rnacentral:tRNA from 1 species
GGGCCGUUAGCUCAGUUGGUAGAGCAGUUGGCUUUUAACCAAUUGGCCGUGCGUUCAAGUCGCACACGGCCCA